rnacentral:rRNA from 1 species
ACGGAAGGCAGCAGUGGGGAAUAUUGGGCAAUGGGCGAAAGCCUGACCCAGCAACGCCGCGUGAAGGAUGGCGGUUUUCGGAUUGUAAACUUCUUUGACUGAGGACGACAAUGACGGUACUCAGAAAACAAGCCACGGCUAACUACGUGCCAGCAGCCGCGGUAAUACGUAGGUGGCGAGCGUUGUCCGGAUUUACUGGGUGUAAAGGGCGUGUAGGCGGGAAAGCAAGUCAGAUGUGAAAACCCGAGGCUUAACUUCGGGACUGCAUUUGAAACUGUUUUUCUUGGGUGAUGGAGAGGUAAGCGGAAUUCCUAGUGUAGCGGUAAAAUGCGUAGAUAUUAGGAAGAACACCAGUGGCGAAGGCGGUCUACUGGACAGUAACUGACGCUGAGGCGCGAAAGCGUGGGGAGCAAACAGGAUUAGAUACCCUGGUA